GACGAACGCUGGCGGCGUGCUUAACACAUGCAAGUCGAACGAUGAAGCCGGAGCUUGCUCUGGUGAAUUAGUGGCGAACGGGUGAGUAACACGUGAGUAACCUGCCCUUGACUCUGGGAUAACUGCGGGAAACUGUAGCUAAUACCGGAUACGACCCUCGGAGGCAUCUCCUGGGGGUGGAAAGAAUUUCGGUCAAGGAUGGACUCGCGGCCCAUCGGCUGGUUGGUGAGGUAAAGGCUCACCAAGGCGACGACGGGUAGCCGGCCUGAGAGGGUGACCGGCCACACUGGGACUGAGACACGGCCCAGACUCCUACGGGAGGCAGCAGUGGGGAAUAUUGCACAAUGGGCGCAAGCCUGAUGCAGCAACGCCGCGUGAGGGAUGACGGCCUUCGGGUUGUAAACCUCUUUUAGCAGGGAAGAAGCGAAAGUGACGGUACCUGCAGAAAAAGCACCGGCUAACUACGUGCCAGCAGCCGCCGUAA
rnacentral:rRNA from 1 species